UUGAAAGGGAAACGAUUGAAGUCAGUCGUACCAGCGGGAAAUCAACCUUUCGAGCGGUGUUUUGGAGUUUUGAAGUGUGUCAAAACCUUUGAGAUUUUAAAAUUUUCGCUCUUUUGGUGUACUUUCUNCGGGGGUAGGUUAACAUCGAUUUUGAUCAUCAUAAAAAGAUUGGAGGAAUGUAGCUUCGAUCUUGUAUUGAAGUGUUAUAGCCUUUGGUAAAUGUGAUGAUUGGGAUCGAGGAUUGCAACGAAUACCCUUUUGGGCUAUCCGCCUGAUCUCUGAUACGUGGCCUUGGCAUCGAAAGCUUGCUUAUGGUAUCAAGGUAUUACGGUCAAAAGGUUAGAACGGAUUACAUUCGUUAAGGAUGUUGACGUA
rnacentral:rRNA from 1 species